rnacentral:rRNA from 1 species
GAUGAACGCUGGCGGCGUGCCUAAUACAUGCAAGUCGAGCGAACGGACGAGAAGCUUGCUUUUCUGAUGUUAGCGGCGGACGGGUGAGUAACACGUGGAUAACCUACCUAUAAGACUGGGAUAACUUCGGGAAACCGGAGCUAAUACCGGAUAAUAUUUUGAACCGCAUGGUUCAAAAGUGAAAGACGGUCUUGCUGUCACUUAUAGAUGGAUCCGCGCUGCAUUAGCUAGUUGGUAAGGUAACGGCUUACCAAGGCAACGAUGCAUAGCCGACCUGAGAGGGUGACCGGCCACACUGGAACUGAGACACGGUCCAGACUCCUACGGGAGGCAGCAGUAGGGAAUCUUCCGCAAUGGGCGAAAGCCUGACGGAGCAACGCCGCGUGAGUGAUGAAGGUCUUCGGAUCGUAAAACUCUGUUAUUAGGGAAGAACAUAUGUGUAAGUAACUGUGCACAUCUUGACGGUACCUAAUCAGAAAGCCACGGCUAACUACGUG